AGGCUGGGGGGGGGACAAAACUCUCCCUCCUCCUCCGGAUCGGCUAAGGUGAGGGUCAGCUGCGAUCUGGAAGUGAAGCCCUGAUGACAAGCAGAUAAGGUUCAUCCAAUCAUCGGCGAGUCCCAUCACACCGCCAUUGCGCCUAUUGCGGGAGCUGGGGUGCGUGUAGGACUUGUCGCACAUCUUGCACAGGGGCAGCAAACGGAGGAGCUGAUCCGGGUUCGAAGUCCGGUCCGUCGAGUUGCCUUGGAAGAACUUGAACGGUGGGAUGGAAGAAAAAAAAAAAAGGAGCAAAAAUCUCAACAGAGGUGUCGGGAACCAAUUGAAGGUGAAAGUUUGGAGUGUCGCCUUCCAGAAGCUUUGAAAACGACGCGCCAGACUUUCCGAAAGCCCCCGCGAGGGUCUUCUAAUACUUGGUGACAAGAUCAAUAUGUUGCGACGGCGGGCCGGCCCGGCGUGACCCGCUGCUUUCAUGGCUGUUUGAACUUUGACCCUCUUAAGACCACAUAUGCUGCCCUCCGGACACCUCGCUGGAAAAUGAGCCUGUUUGUCACAAAAACGCUUUGGUUGUGUUUGUUUUUUGCCCGCCGCAGACCCCCCUCACCCCCCCCCCCCCACACACACACACCCAUUGCUGCCCCUUACGAGGCUUGAUGAUUAUACAUCAUUCAGAAAUAUUUUUAUCUGCGCAAAUCCAACCCCAAUAUUGUUUUUCUUAUGCCUCAGAGCCCCUUGGUCAUUUUUUGGAAUCUCUCUCUCUCUCUCUCUCUCUUUUAACUAGAUGACGACAUAUUCCUACCACGUUUUAGGAUGAAAAUUUGAAUUUGUUGCCAAUCUGUGCACGUUUUUGUGGCUCCUGAAUUAAAAUAUUUACAAAUAAUACAAGUGGGCUAAAACGACUGUAUUUACAUGGCUGCAAUUAAAAGUAAAUUGAAAGCAGAAAUUGCUCAUAUUAACUAAAUGUGAGUUUUAUACUUAUAAUGAGUCUUUUGGAGGCAAAAAAAAAAAUGGAUUGUACACCAAAUGUGUUUCAUGCCUGGUUUGAUAUGUACAGUAUAUAAAAUAAUCUACGAAUAUGCGAUGUGUAUGCGU